UACAGAGGGGGCAAGCGUUGUUCGGAAUACUGGGCGUAAAGGGCGCGUAGGCGGCCUUCUAAGUCGAACGUGAAAUCCCUGGGCUCAACCCAGGAACUGCGUCCGAUACUGGAAGGCUUGAAUCCGGGAGAGGGAUGCGGAAUUCCAGGUGUAGCGGUGAAAUGCGUAGAUAUCUGGAGGAACACCGGUGGCGAAGGCAGCAUCCUGGACCGACACUGACGCUGAGGAGCGAAAGCCAGGGGAGCAAACGGG
rnacentral:rRNA from 1 species